rnacentral:lncRNA from 1 species
UCCAUAUAGGCUAGUUUUUGCCUGCUUAAAUCAAAUAUGUAAUAAAAAAUAUACCUUCAUGUGCUACUUUUUGAGUUAAAUGAGGUCGAAAUUUUGUAUAUUUGCUCAAAAUUCGGAUUUGUGGCCGUAUUUUCUCUUUCGAAAGAAAGCCAUAACUUUUUUGUUUUAAAAGAUAAACACAAAUUGUUUUUUGUUAAAUAAUUU